AACAAUACCUUAUUGAUAUGGGUAUGGAUCCGAAGCCCAUCCUAGGAUAACAUAGGCACUCCAUAUCUCUCCAAAUAUCUGAGCUUUGGUAUACGGGGAAACCCAACCCCUUGGGAAGAUGGGUUAUAUGCCUAAAUUGAGCGUC
rnacentral:ribozyme from 1 species